GGAGCCUCCACAGCGUUUUGGAGGUCUGAGCCGUCGGAUCUGCUUAUCUAAUGGUCUACAUCGACUGACUGAUCCCGAAGCGUCGCUAGGUACCUUCUUACUUCGUUCGAUCCCGUUAAAUAGGCCAGCAUUCGUUACUGGGCUUCUACUCCACAAAACGAGUUAGGUCGCACCAGGUUGGUCGGGCCGUGAAUCGCUUAUAUGGGCAUAGAGUUUCAGCCCUUUAUAGUUCUCGUCCAGAAUCCACGAAGCUUAUCGCUAGCGGUAAAAAAAGAAGAGUAGCCCUCGUCAGUUCUUCUCGUUUCCUCUCUGUUCUGGUCACGCCGCCGUUCCCCGGACGACCACGCCGCCGGCGCCGGGGGAUAGGCCACCUACCGAUCGAAAACCAGCGAGGCGAUUCAUCCCCGAAGAAACAGUGAGGCAAAGCGACGGCGCCGACAAAGUUUGGAUGGCGGGAAGGCUGCGGAGUGGACUCCUUCCAUACGGACCUAGGAUUCUUCGAUCCGCCGGUAGACCCGGCCCAUCAUCAGAGAAACGCCUCUCCUUCCGUUUGUGUGGGCGGCAUCGUGAUCACAGUGCGCGAACUGAAACCGUCAGCACCCUAAUCACGGUGGUAAUUUCGACCCACUUCUCCAUGUAAUUAUCGUGAUUAAUCUAGGCGUUAUUUUCAAUUCUCUUCUCUCCGUGAUAAAUAUGUGCGACAUCCUAAUUUUCAUCAGAUAUGUUCGUUGCUUAGUGUUGCUUUUCUGCUUGCCCGUCCUCAUUCUUCUCAGUAAUUUCAUCAAACGCCAACAUUAGGUAGCAAAUUGUCUUACUGUUGUUUGUUCAGGGAUUGCCGUCCUCUUUCGUGUUGGAUUUUAAUUCAGGAACUGUUGAUAGGGAGUGUCUGAUCUUCAUCUGCGACCAUGGCUGCUGGAUAGGUGCUCUCCUUUAUGCAAUUUUAGCUCCGUAUCAUUAUUGUUUCCACACCCAUUUUCAUCAUAUUUAUGUUAGGGGGUACUAAUACCACUACAGAAAAGUACCAUAUGCCUCGCUAUUUGUUGUUCUCCAGGAAGAAUGGCAAGCUGAAGAAGCCUGAUGCUAUGGGAUAGAAACGUACACAAUGUUUGCACCUCCUCAGCAGAGUAGCAAUGUGGAAUCACCGUUUUCCACUUUGGUAUACCGUUAUGAUCUGUAAUGGUGUAUAGAAUACAUGUAUUUUAAGUAUGUGUCCUCUAUGUUGUAUAUGGUCUGUCCAGCCUAAACACUUACAAUUCAGUGAUUGUUGUCAUCCAAGCAGACUAAGCUUUAUUACACUCUCUCAGAAAAAUAGAGGAGACCCUUAAAUCUUCUAAUGUUUUGGAUCGACUGUUGAUCAAGGUAUUUACUGUUCCUACUCUGCAUGACAUGCCAUAAAUGGUGUUUUUGAGUAAUAGUUUAACUGAAUUAGUGACACAUGCAUUUGUUUUCAGAAUUUAUUUGAGAUAUGAUUAUAUUGUUCUGGGAUGCUGAAUCCAAUUGUUUAAAUUAUAACUGCUUCUUUCCAAGGCUAUGUCUUUUUCAUGCUGUCAAUAAUGGUUUGAUACAAGGUAUGCAUCUUCGUGUAUAAGGAACAGGGUAAAGCUUCACCACAGAAGGUGUUCCAGAAUCAAGAGAGUAGGAUUAUUAAUUAUGGUGUUUCGAGGGAACUGCUUGGAAAUAUGUAAUAAAAAUCCAGGGACCUUCUUUAUGACAAUUGUGAAUUGUAAACAAAACAAGGAAAAAGUAUAUUUUUUUUCUUUCUGAUUUAUCCCUGCUUUAUAGUCGAAAUGAUGAAACAUAAUAUCUUGUGUCAGUUAUAUUGCUACUUCAUAGUAUAAAAAGGUAUUUUGUUGAUGGGGCAAAGAGGUUUCAGGUUUAGUUGAACCACAAAUAUAUACAAUAAAUGGUGUAUGGAAGAAGCUGAAAGCGGAGAUGCUUUUUCCCUUGUGUUAUCUUUUUGGUCAGUAAUACAUCUGUUUGAGAGAACAAAUGAUUCUGAGAAAUAAAAAGACUUGAUUUCCAUUCAAAGUUUCUUGCCUUACAUGCUCCACUGUUUUGGUAGGUUUCCCAAAUAAGGGUUGAUAUAACUAUAGGAAAUGUGGAGUACGUAGUUGGACUAAUCUAUAAUUGUGCACUUUGUUUCUUUUUACGUUGAAAGACUAAGAAUUUGUAGGUAGCUUUGGCUGAUGGGACAGAGCUACACUCAUUAGCUGUGUUCUCAGAUUCUACUCGAUCGUGAGGACGAGAGCACACAUGGUGAGGAUUACUCUAAAUAUCAACUGUUGAAGUUUUAUUAGCUCUAUUUUUGCAUCAAUGGCGCAGCAGCAGGAAAAAUCAGCUGCACUGGUGGUGUGAUAGGCAAACUGUUAGAAAUAGGCAAAAUUAUGUAUAUGGCUUGCAAAUUUUUGGAUUUUAGAAGAAAAUUAUUAGUUGCGUGAGGUAGGAAAAUUAUAUGCUUAGUUCAGUGCUCACUAUCUACUGCUUCUAAGAACUAAAAAGUGUACCCACUACCACAAGUCAGAGACUCAAUGCCAUCACAGUCAA